UGGCCACAUGAUGUUGAAACACCAAUUUCCAUACAAUCACCGAAGUUAAGCAAUGUCAAGCCUGGUCAGUAACUAAAUGGGUGAUCACUUGGGAAUACCAGGUGCUAUA